ACGUUGUCGUCGGCAGCCGCCCUCUUUGGAGUGUGGAGGGCAAUGCUUUUAGCAAACACAGCACGGCAUGGAGCACAGCACAGCACAAAACUAAAGUCUUAUUUGCUUUCUCGUUCGUCGUCGUCGUCUGCGUUGUCGUGCGGCUGCGAGUCUGCUUUCUGUCUGCCCCUCUGCUUCUGACCUGAGUAACAUGUUUAUGUAUCUGUAAGUCAGCAGCAGCGUACAAAUAUAUUUUGUUGCCAUGCAAUUUGCAGAUUUAGCCAAGCAAAAAGAAUGCGAAUGAGCGGGCACAGGCAAAGGCAUAAUCAACGACCGAUAUUCAACACAGUCUGGCAAAACAGUAUGGCAACAUUGCUAAUCCCCCCCACACGGAGAGCCACAAACUUAGGCCCGCUUCUCGGGCUAUGUAUUUGGCUAUCAAGAAAAGCUUUUAUAUAACCUGAAAAACAAGCACAGCACGCUGCGCUGGCACUUUUUGUGCGCCAUUACAAUAAACGAAACGAAACGAAACGUAAGGAAAAAUACAUGACGAACCAAGUGCGGUGAAGGUGGGGAAUGGGCAACAACAAAAAACUCACCACAGCGGCAGCAGCAACACAAAUGAAAAUAAGUAAAAAGAGGACAGGGCAACGAAAGCAGGGGACAAAGUGUAGAGCGAAAAAAAUAACACAAAAACACUACUAUACGAAAUAAGAGCAAACAGAAAAACGCACAAUUUGAACUCGGCAAAGAGGAGAGCGACACAUGAGCAUACAAAUAUAUACAGACGUACAUAUGUAUGCCUGUACAUAUAUGUACGUGCGUAUAUAAAAAUUCAUGUGAAGUCGCGGAUGAAGCUGGCAAUGCGGUGGAGGCCGAAACACACACAAAUCACACAUACCCUACACACAGACGCACGCACACCGUUAAAGAUAUACAAGCCACCACUGAGGCAGAAAAGCAGGCCCAGGGCAGCAACAAAAACCAUCGUUGCUGUUUGGCGUUUGUAAUCGGCCUGUACAUCGGUGUGUGCACAGUGGUCGCCAACAAUAACUGCUCUCUUUCAGCCAUGUUUUAGUACGUUUAUAACAUUUAAUGUUGGUCCCGCUCUGCGACGCCACAUCAAAAUUAAUGCAUUGAUAUGACGAACGUUGGUUAUGGUUAUGGUUCUGGUUCCACAAAAACUGGCAUUUGUCCCACUGUGACCGGCGUUUCUAGCUCAUCCAAUCAUGUUUAUUUGUUUCAUAUCCAACAACAACUAAAUUGUUAUUUCAACCACUGUGCCAUUCUGUUGUCUCUACCUCCGCAUAUACUUUGGGACGCCGCCGCUUUUGCUGUGUGGAUUUUUUGUCGUGUGUGUGUUAUUCACAAUUUCCGAGUAAUACUCGUUUUUUGUUUUCUUUAUUUCAUUGCACCGUAUUUCUUUUGCUCUCGUUUUUUUUUUUUUUUUUUUUUGUAAAACACAAACACACGAACGUACGAACGGGAGGAAAGAUAUAAGAAAUCAAAUAAAAAUGGUGACGAAUCGUUUGAAACUCAAGAAAAAGCCGAAAUUAAAACUUUUGCAUAAAAUAAAACAACUAAAAUGUCAAAUACACGUACAUAUACUACAAAGCCAUUGCAAUGGCGGGAACUACGGUCAGUCUUGGGAAAGGGGAGGGGGGAGAUGGAUGGGGGGGUAAUUUGUGGGUUGCUUACCUUUUAGAAAUUCACGUAGUUGCUCGGCGGAUAUAUUUCUAUAGCCCAAUUCAUUUAAAUGCUGCAGUAUAGCCCGUGCAUCCAAAGGCAAAUGUGACAUUUUCUUUUUGUUCAGGAGUAAUCAAUUGUUCUUUAUUUCUAGAUUAUUUUUUCUUAUAUUUUGUUUAUACUCCACCACUCUCUCGCAUACACACGAACACGAACACAUGCAGAUGCAGUAUCACCGUUUCUCUUUCUUGCUUUUCGUUGUUGUUGUUGGCUCUUUACUGUGUUCACUUUCGGC